rnacentral:rRNA from 1 species
GACGAACCGUGCGAACGUUGUUCGGAAUCACUGGGCUUAAAAGGGCGCGUAGGCGGACCAUCAAGUCAGGAGUGAAAUCCCCCGGCUCAACCGGGGAAGUGCUUUUGAUACUGGUGGUCUCGAGUGGGGUAGGGGCGUGCGGAACUUCCGGUGGAGCGGUGAAAUGCGUAGAGAUCAGCAGGAACACCCGUGGCGAAGGCGGCCCCCCUGGGCCGUACCUGACGCUGAGGCGCGAAGGCUAGGGGAGCGAACGGG